rnacentral:lncRNA from 1 species
GCCUGCAGCCGGCGGCGGAACGAGGGCAGGCGGCUGAGACAGGCGAGCUAUUUGCAUUCCCCGGCAGUCAUUUUUAUAUGCGGAGGAAGAGACACUAGAGAGACACUCAGCUGCAGUGAGAAUACACAGGCAUCUUCAAGUACCAGAGAUGUCUCCAAGAGCACCAGCAACCCCAGCUAUCUGGAUCUGAAGUGGAUAUGCUCAGAGACAUCCUGGCCCACCCCAAAGAAGAUGCUGCUGCACUCAGAAGACGCCAGAGCUAGCCACCACCCACACUGCAAGUCUGGAAGCUCUGCAAGGACCCAGCAAGGCAGCCUGCUCAGCGAAGGCUUUGUCUCCUGUGGCAGGAAGAGCAACAUUAAGAACAAGAACCCCGGGCUGGACUACCCCUGAGAUUUAAUGACCAGAGCUGAGACCCCCAAGACCACAAUGACUAUGGAGGGCUGUCAUUACCCUGCCUGACCCUCUAAUGCCUCUCAGUUCAAGGAGGCCACUGAGUGAAACUGAAGGCUGGUUUUCCUUGGAAGCCAGCGGCCCAUCCACCUGCUCCACUUCCCUGCCUCUUGCAGCCUCCGCUCAAACACUGUCGUGGCUUGGCAGCACUACAAGUAUUUCAGGGGCUGCCAAGCUGCUCUCCUGUUUCCUCUUCCUUGGGGCUGAUUGCAUCCCAUGAUGUGCCCAGGUUUUGAGAUGCUCCUCGUGAAUGAAAAUAGGACUGUCUGGUUCCUCCAUCCAUAGCAAGGGAGCCUAGACAGAAAUAACUUCUGUGCAUUUCUCCAGCUACAUUUAGCUGAAAAUAUGUCUACGUGAGGUUAACUGUAUUUACCCAAUGCCAGAUACCUGAAAGAGUGUGAAAAAUUAAGGGAAAACUAGAAAAUACAGAAAUAUAUCAAGAAGAAAAAAAAUUUAAAAAUGACCCAAAAUCCCACCAACCAGAGACAGCUAUUAAUGAUUGUGGUAUAUUUAUUGAAUUUACUAAAGUCAUGCUAUACGCUAGGCACUGUGGAGGGACUGCAGAAAGACUUCAAGGACUGCACCGUCUUGUUAGAAAGAUGCCUAGACAACAUUUGAGAAACGCUGAUCAUGUCUGAUGACACAUAACUGCUAACAGUUACAUGGAAUUUUCUAUAUGCUAUAUACAAACAUACAAAUAUAUGUAUGUAUAUUUACUCAGCUCUCACAACAGCUACUACUGUUAUUAUGAAUCCUGUUUUAUAGUGAGAAAACUGAAACAUGGAGAGGUUAAGUAAUUUGCCCAAGAUCACAUAGCUACUAAGUGGUGGAACUGUGAUUAGAAUCCAGGCAUUCAGGCUCCAGAGUUCAUACUCUUCACAUACCACAUCUAUCUUGAAUAUAACAAUGUAGAGAAAAAGAAUUAUAGCAAGCAUAUGUCUAGGUAAGCAUUUUCCAGAAGUGACUGUUUUUUUGCAUUGGGUUUGUAAACUUUCAACAAUAAAGCAGGUUGGACUUUA